AGUAUUUGAUGAGCAUGAAAUUUAAAUAUAUUGGCGGUACUUUACCUAAUUAGAGGAACUUGUUCUAUAAUUGAUAAUCCACAUUAAAUUUUACUUGAUUUUUGUAUACCGCCGUUGACAUCAGGUCAAGGUUCAGUUUAUAAUCAAGUUUGAAGGUGGAUUUAACAGUAACAGUAAUUUAUUUUAGAAAUAAAGUAUGU
rnacentral:rRNA from 1 species